UUUUCUUUUUCAUAAGUUUUUGAAACGUAAUCGUGCUUUCUUAGCUGAAUUUUCGAAAUGGUUGUUUUGGAUUUAUUUGAAAUAAAAAAGUUUAUUUACCUGUCACCUUGUAUUGGUGGAGAUGAUGACUCAACACACAAAUGCAUGCCUCCUUGCUGAGAACUUCAGGUUUGUGAGGCCCUCAAAUAUGAGCGAACAAAGAAUAAAUAAAAUACAUUGAAGGAAAGUAUGGAAAAUUUGGAGUUGAUAGAAUGAACAACAACAAGCGCGGCGUGCUUGCUCGUUUGAAAACCCUGAUCAACUCACAGAGCUUCCACUCUCGUUUGCCCAAAGGAAGAGGACAAGGUAAAGUGUCUCCAGAAAUAGACACUUUAAGUGUUUGACUUGAGGUUGUUAACCAGGGGUGUUCAAAAUGUCCAAAAGAAUCUAUACCCUAUUCUUGACAGUACUGCAGUGUUGUGACCGUCUGAAACACUAUUCGAAGGAGAGCAGACUGAAAGCUGAGAGCAAUUUACAAUAUUCAUUUUGUUUUCAAAUCCUAUGCAUAAAAAUUGUUGCUUAUUUAAAAUUGUCACAUUAUUUUUGGAUAGUUUGAUGGAGAAUAGAACUUUG